GUGCUCACUUCAACAGCACAUAUACAUACUAAAAUUGGAACGAUACAGAGAACACUAGCACGUCCCCUGUGCAAGGAUGCCAUGCAAAUGUGUGACGCGUUCCAUAUUUUU
ensembl:snRNA U6 U6 spliceosomal RNA